GGCCACCCUUGGGUGCGGGGUCCUAUUCGGGGGAGAGGGGAGCUGGCGGGUCCUUGGGUUAGGGAGGGACUCGGCCCCACACUGACCCCCACCCCUCCUCUUCCCCACCACUGGUCCCCCAGCGGCCAUGUGGCUCAGACGGGGCAAGGAAAGCUGAUGUGGACGCCCCCAGAGAGGAGGGACUCCGCCCAGCACCUGCCCCUGGAAUGCACCCCACCACCCCGACCUCCCGACCUCCUGGGACCUUUCCCCAGUCCCCCAGACCCCCAGCCUGAGGGCAACAGCCUUCCUUCCCUGAGCUAAAGGCGCUUCCAGCACCGGCCAGCAGGGGCGGCUAUGCUUCUGAAAUUAGACAACUCCCUUCCAAACCAGCCCUGGUCCAGACUGGGGACACAGCCACCAUCCUAAUUAGGAAUUGAGGCUGGGCAAGACUGGACACACUGUCCAAGGCCACAAAGCUGGGAGGUGACAGAACAAGUAUUCGAAUCUGGAGCCACGCCUUUACACACCAAGCUCUCCAAGAGACAGUCUGGAGUCAUCCCCAUGUCCUCACCCCCAAAAAACGAAGACAUUUAAAUUGAGGAAACGUGCAGACCACCUUUUGGAGGCGUUCAUGAUAUAAGGAAGCAGGGAGUGGCCAGUACCUGGAAGGAGAUGUGGAGUCAAGGUAGGAGGGAUUAACUGUUUAAAGAUCAGCUAUCCAUGUAGUGACAGAUUCUGUUUAUACGCUAAUGAAUGAUCCAACAAUGGUCAAUGCAGGGGGAGGGUACCUGCACCAACAGAGACCUCGAGAAGAUCAGAGGGUGGCCCCAGUGAAGGGACUCAUCUGUUCAUGUAGUGAGAAAAGAAGGCAAAAUGGGUCCAAGUGCAGACAGGUUUCAGGUCAAGGGUGGGAAGGUCCAAUGGCCUGUGUUUUCUCUAAGAAACGUUGAGUCAAGGCCACCAUCUGGGAAUGAGGGUGUGGGAAGUUUGAAGAAAUAGAACCUAUUACCUCUUAGAGAAAUGGAGGAGGACUUGAGUUUUGUUAACAUUAAUUGAAAAUGAGGAGUCUGUCCGCCAUUGUGGGCCCGAGAAGUGAAGAGCGAGAGGGGAAGAGGAGCGUGCAAGCGGAAGAGACGAGCCCCUUCCACCAACUCCCGAGCGCGAGGCAGUCUUUCUGGCUUCUCAGCGAGCGGCGGCGGCAGGAAGAGCCUCUCGGCCGAGGCCGGCAGCCAGCUGCUGUGAGUGCACAGGGAGAGGCCCAGGCGGCGGCGGCGGCUGCAGCAGCAGCAGCAGCAGCAGCUCUCGGGUUGCGGUGAACAAUGUCAGCCACUAGCGUGGAUCAGAGACCUAAAGGGCAAGGAAAUAGAGUUUCAGUACAAAACGGUUCGAUUCAUCAAAAAGAUGCUGUAAAUGAUGAUGAUUUUGAGCCAUACUUAAGUAGCCAAAUCAGGGACUUAGAAGAUUAGUUUUUUGGCAUUCCACAGAGAUGCUUCAGGUCUGCCUAGGGGAGACCUGGGGAGGGUAACCUGGAUCCCACCUGUGUAGCAACCAGAGCUGUGCUUUGCAUUUUAUGUGAUUUAUAUGUUGGAAUUCUGCAUACAAUUUCACAUAAAGCAUUGGAAAG